rnacentral:rRNA from 1 species
UACGUAGGGGGCGAGCGUUGUCCGGAUUUAUUGGGCGUAAAGGGCUCGUAGGCGGCCAACUAGGUCAGACGUGAAAUCCCUCGGCUUAACCGGGGAACUGCGUCUGAUACUGGAUGGCUUGAGUUCGGGAGAGGGAUGUGGAAUUCCAGGUGUAGCGGUGAAAUGCGUAGAUAUCUGGAGGAACACCGGUGGCGAAGGCGGCAUCCUGGACCGAUACUGACGCUGAGGCGCGAAAGCGUGGGGAGCAAACAGG